rnacentral:rRNA from 1 species
GCAAGUCGAGCGUGAAACUUCCUUCGGGGUGAGCGGCGGACGGGUGAGUAACGCGUGGGAAUAUGCCCUUCUCUAAGGAAUAGCCUCUGGAAACGGAGAGUAAUACCUUAUACGCCCUUUGGGGGAAAGAUUUAUCGGAGAAGGAUUAGCCCGCGUUAGAUUAGGUAGUUGGUGGGGUAAUGGCCUACCAAGCCUACGAUCUAUAGCUGGUUUGAGAGGAUGAUC